rnacentral:rRNA from 1 species
AGAGUUUGAUCAUGGCUCAGGACGAACGCUGGCGGCGUGCUUAACACAUGCAAGUCGAACGGAAAGGCCCUUCGGGGUACUCGAGUGGCGAACGGGUGAGUAACACGUGGGUGAUCUGCCCUGCACUCUGGGAUAAGCCUGGGAAACUGGGUCUAAUACCGGAUAGGACCGCAUGCUUCAUGGUGUGUGGUGCAAAGCUUUUGCGGUGUGGGAUGAGCCCGCGGCCUAUCAGCUUGUUGGUGGGGUAAUGGCCUACCAAGGCGACGACGGGUAGCCGGCCUGAGAGGGUGACCGGCCACACUGGGACUGAGAUACGGCCCAGACUCCUACGGGAGGCAGCAGUGGGGAAUAUUGCACAAUGGGCGCAAGCCUGAUGCAGCGACGCCGCGUGAGGGAUGACGGCCUUCGGGUUGUAAACCUCUUUCAGUAGGGACGAAGCGAAAGUGACGGUACCUACAGAAGAAGGACCGGCCAACUACGUGCCAGCAGCCGCGGUAAUACGUAGGGUCCGAGCGUUGUCCGGAAUUACUGGGCGUAAAGAGCUCGUAGGUGGUUUGUCGCGUUGUUCGUGAAAACUCACAGCUUAACUGUGGGCGUGCGGGCGAUACGGGCAGACUAGAGUACUGCAGGGGAGACUGGAAUUCCUGGUGUAGCGGUGGAAUGCGCAGAUAUCAGGAGGAACGCCGGUGGCGAAGGCGGGUCUCUGGGCAGUAACUGACGCUGAGGAGCGAAAGCGUGGGUAGCGAACAGGAUUAGAUACCCCGGUAGUCCAA